GUUAUAUAUAUAUAUAUAUAUAUCAAUAAUUGCAGCAAUAUAUUAAGAUUUAAGAACCAGAAGAGGAUUUCCUGAUUGAGUACAUUUUUUGAUAAAUAUUUUUUUUUUUUUUUUGAUAAAUAUUUCCUGAUUGAGUACAUCAAGAAGCCAUCUUGGCCAAAUUGCAGUUGCCGAAUACCAAUCGUCAGCCUCACCGUCCGGGGCGCCACCACCCAGGUGCAUAUCUCCGAAUGGUUGAAAGAGCACUCGCCACCUCAAUACUACACAGUUUUAUCAUCUUCCUUUCAAUUUGGGACACCAUCCUUAUUCUUAUACCUUUUAACCAGUAUACUCCAAAGAAUAUGUGUCUUCUUAUAGGUGAGUAAUGCAAUGGCACUAUUUUGUUAGAUUAUUCACUUAUGUUGUGGUUUUAAUUUCCAUGAGAUAUAUCAUGUAAUGUGUGUUGUGAUAUUUUGUUA